AGUCGUAACAAGGUCUCCGUUGGUGAACCAGCGGAGGGAUCAUUACCGAGUUUACAACUCCCAAACCCAAUGUGAACGUUACCAAACUGUUGCCUCGGCGGGAUCUCUGCCCCGGGUGCGUCGCAGCCCCGGACCAAGGCGCCCGCCGGAGGACCAACCAAAACUCUUAUUGUAUACCCCCUCGCGGGUUUUUUACUAUCUGAGCCAUCUCGGCGCCCCUCGUGGGCGUUUCGAAAAUGAAUCAAAACUUUCAACAACGGAUCUCUUGGUUCUGGCAUCGAUGAAGAACGCAGCGAAAUGCGAUAAGUAAUGUGAAUUGCAGAAUUCAGUGAAUCAUCGAAUCUUUGAACGCACAUUGCGCCCGCCAGUAUUCUGGCGGGCAUGCCUGUCCGAGCGUCAUUUCAACCCUCGAACCCCUCCGGGGGGUCGGCGUUGGGGAUCGGCCCUUUACGGGGCCGGCCCCGAAAUACAGUGGCGGUCUCGCCGCAGCCUCUCCUGCGCAGUAGUUUGCACACUCGCAUCGGGAGCGCGGCGCGUCCACAGCCGUUAAACACCCCAAACUUCUGAAAUGUUGACCUCGGAUCAGGUAGGAAUACCCGCUGAACUUAAGCAUAUCAAUAA
rnacentral:misc_RNA from 1 species